CCGGCUAUACUAGUUAGAAAUUUUCCAACAGUAUAGUCGCACGGAUAUACAAAAUUGCUUUUCUCAUCCAACGAAGUAGUUUUUCAUUCUUAUUUUUUUCGUAAUGGGGCGGGUCAGGGAACUAAUUCUGCAAUGAAGGCUGGUAUGGGCCAAUGGCGGAUUGAAGACCGGCAUAUUCUGAAUAUGGGCACCAAUAUACCGGUCGACUAGUUCUCCAAGCCAGUGGCAGUGGUUGCAGUUGAUUUCCCCCAUUAUCACCUAUUGGACAACCUUUGCCUUUUCUGUGUCUUGGUGUUUCACCAUUUUGGCCAACCAUAGUCUCCAGUACCUCGGCCAUACUUAAUUCCAGUCACCUUAAAUGUAACCGAAAAUACUUGCUCGAACUCAUUCAUUUUGGCCCGCCCUAGUUGACUCCCAUUUAUUUGUCUGCUAUUCUAGAUCUAGUCAUUAUCAAUCACCAUAAUAAAGCUCCACUCUUGUAGUUUCAGUUUCACCUGUGCCUUUGAUUAUUUAGAACAAUUUAGACUUUAAUGAUAUGGUCACGGUUACAGCACAAAAGACAAAUACCAAAAGCGGCCCUCGUGAAGAAGGGUAUGGUCAUUGGUCACCCUCAGUUUCACCUGUGCCUUCUCAUCACUUUCAUUCUCGCCUCCUCAUCACUCUCUGUCGUCUGUGGUGCUCAGGAGCACCACCACCACAACGGCAUUAUCAGCCAUGGAGCUCUCUCCGACACCGAAGCCCUCUACAUCAAGCAGCGCCAGCUUCUCUACUACGGGGACGAGUUCGGCGACCGAGGCGACCUAGUCACGGUCGACCACCAUCUCUGGUUUUUGAGAACCAGAGAAUCAGAAAUGCUUACAUGGCUUUACAAGCUUGGAAGCAAGCCAUUCUCUCCGACCCGCUUAAUCUCACGGGUAAUUGGGUCGGAUCUAAUGUCUGCAACUGUAUUCAAUUUAAUCAACUGUAGGAUUCAUUUACAAGGCGAGUGGAAGGAGUCAUCAAUUUUGAAUUAACAAGUUUCUACUUUAACGUAUAACAACUAUGUUCAUAUUUAUUGGCUGGAUAACUUGUUAUAUUCAGCCAAUUACUUGGAUAACGUAUGCACUUAAGGUGCAAGUGCUUUGACAUUUGUGCCACAUAGAAUUACAUUCCUUUUUAAAUAUUUUAUGAUAUAAUUUUUUUUUUAUUUUUAAAAUUUUGAAAUCAUUUUUUGGUCCAAUGUUACCCCUUAUGACUUGAAUUGGGUAAUAGUCAUUUAUGUCAUAUUGCCUACUACCUAUUGCAUAGGUAUAUAUAUAUAUAUAUAUUUUUUUUUUUUCAUAUUUUCGACAAUGUGUCAUAGUAUUUUAUGUACCUUUUUUUAAUAGGUAACAUAUAAUUUUAUUUUGUCUAUUUUUGUAUCUGACUUAUGGGUAGUCUUCUAAUUUAUGUUCCUAACUUAUAGAUAACACGAUUUAUCACUAAAUAUUUUUCGUUGCUAAUAAUAACACUAUUUACUUGUAUGUCAUGUACAUAAUUUAAUAUGGGUGCUUGUCUGAUCGAUUGGUAUAAUAUGUGGGUCUUUACUUUUUAUUAAUUAAAUCGUAUUUUAUCCAUAUAUUAGGAAUAUUAUCAAAGAAAGAAUUUAAAUUUUAAAUUAUGAAAUUCAAUUACAAGGAAAUAAUGCAUUAAAUUUAGAUUUUCAAUGUGGUUUCCUUAUUUGCCUCAAAGGGUAAAAUUGACACAACAAAAAAAAGUAAUAAAUGUCAAAGGACUUACGUCUAAAACCAAAAACGCGAGCACUAAACCCAAUGAUAGCUAAUCGUUUUGGGCCUAGAUCUAAGAAGCCCUUUUAUUUAUUAUCUAACAUCGUUGCAUGCCAUUGAUAGUGUGCCUAUGGAUGAGGAAGAGAAAGUUGUGCUUGACUGAUGAUUGACGGAAACUUUCGCAAGUAAAUCCUCGAUGCUACUGGUUGAAGGCCCUUUGAUGUUAAAGUUAGCUUAAGGGGAUGAGCGCAAGCUAUCGACAAUGCAAGGGCAUAAGUGUCAAGUAGCAAGUCUUACCCUGUAUCUAGGGUAAGGAGUUAUAUAUAUAGGGAAUUCUGGGUUUUUUUGGGUGCUUAGUUUCGAUGUGGGACUCGUGGGAGUGCCUUCCAAGGCUAACACGCGUCCCAGCAAAUAUCCUAGCGAUGAACUCAAGAACAUCCUGCAAGAUGCCUUCUAAGGCGUAGAAUUUGGCAAGGCAUGCCGAACACACUUACCGGUCGUGGGCCGAUCAGUGAACAAUUGGCGAAUGGAGCUAGAAGCGUCUGCCGUUUGUAGGAUUAGACCUACCAGGAUGGGUUACAGGGCCAUGUUGUGCGUAGAAUCGGUCGUGGGUGCCGAAAAGACCUACCGAUUAGUACUACUGGGCUUGCCAGGGCGGGCCAUGGAGCCUUCCUUCACGUGUCAUGGCAUGAGAUGCGGGUCAGGUAUGAUACAAACAAACUUAAAUUAAUUAAACCCAUCAUGCAAUGCAUUCCCUUUCAAUUUUUUGUGAUAAACUCAUAGAUAAUUGACUAAAUAAACAUCAUCCAAAGUUUCAAUAAAAAUUACCAAGUUUUUUUUACAAUUUCCGUAGUUUUUAUUCAAUUUUUAUCGAUAUCGAUAAUAUCCCGAUAUUUCCAUCAAAAUUUCCGUGUUUUUGAACUAUCGAUAUUUUUAAUACCAUCAAUAUUUUAUACCUUGGCUGUAGGCAUUGAUUAUCAAACUAAUUAUCAGGGGACCAGUUGUUGGAUGACACUUGGGCCAGAUUAGAAGUGCAUUAAAUGUUUCCUUUAGUAAUUCUUGGAAACCUGUGCAAGCUAGAUUGCUUAUAGAGGCGAUCUGUGGUGGAUUUUCCAGUUGUUUUUUAUUUUCUUAUGCUUGAUUUAAUCAAGAAGUGUGAAGGAGUUAUUAUCUAACAUCGUUGCAUGCCAUUGACUAUGGAUGAGGAAGAUAAAGUUGUGCUUGACUGAUGAUUGACGGAAACUUUCGCAAGUAAUCCUCUCUAGCAUUGCUCGUGCCGGAAGUGUAAUUGAGGAGCUGUAUGGGUUUGGUGUUGUGUGAUGAGUAUAUUAAGGCGUAUCAAGGGUAUUUUUGGUAGUUAAAUAGGAUGUACUUAGUUAAUUUUAUAUUUUAAUUUAAAUAUUUGGGUGUACUUAGAUCAUAAGGUGUACUCAGUUAAUUUUAGAAUUCGUUUAACCACACUAUAUUAUUAUUAAUAGUUUUCUAUCAAAACAAACCCUUAAGGUCCUUAACUAUUGGCUUGCAGCCACAUAUAAUUACUGUGGUGACCUUCUCGAAUCAUCAAUUUUUAUUCAUUUAAGUUGUUGAUCAACUGCUGCAGGCAAGUUAUUCUCCUGAACUCGAGUCCCAUCAAGAGCGGGUCAAGGGGGUGAGUAAUUGUCUCAAUUCCACACGUAAACAAACAAAGGCUCACAAAACUCUCCAAAAUAUACGCAUUAAUUCUUUGCUUCUUUUCCCUUUAUAAGAAGAAGAAAGCCGUCUAAUUCAUCAUCACCAACACAAGCAAACUCAACAUCAACAAUGUCGACAAAGUCUAGCAUUACCGUCCUUGCCUUUGCCUUUUGUUUCUUGUCCCUCCUCAGUUUCGCUUACUCCAACACCACCGACGACAAAAUCUCUACCUCACCGGCCUGGUCUACUGUGACAACUGCCAAUUGAAGUCUAUGACCGAGAUGAGUAAGAUGAUAAGAUUUGAAUAUGAGAUUUAUGCAUGCAUGCAUGCACAUUGCCCAUUGAUCAGGUGCACAUCUUUUUAUCUUUUACUUUACUAAUUCUUAAUUAAGAUUCAAUUUAGGACCUAUUUAAAGAGAAGAAAAAUACGAUUUAAAAUAUAUCUUAUAACCUAAUAAUCUCCUAAUCAAAAUAUUAAACUUUUAAAAUGUCACAUAUCAAUUUAGCCCUUAAUUAUACUAAGCUUAAAUUCCAUGGUCCAUACUAGUUUGAUUUUUAUUUUUUAUUUUGGUGUGAAAAUUUGGUAUUUUCUUUAAAAUAAUGUGCUUGAUAGCGUGAAAGUAGCAAAUAAAUAAUGAUGUGUUCAAAUUGGAUUUGAACACACAUCACAACCCAUAUCAUCAUUAAGGCCCUAAAAAUUAAAUCAUUAUGUGCUUGGUUAAUACGUUAAGUAGUUUAUGAAGUGAUUAAGAUCAAAGAGGAUCCAUGACUUGUAAUGGAUCACUUGUUCAUUUACUUAAAAAUAAAUAAAUAAAUAAAUAAAAGCAAAGGACCCACUAGUGUAGUGGUUUGGAGUAUUUACUCCCUUAGGUAAGGUCCUGGGUUCGAGUCCUAGCAUCCGUGUUGUGUGUGUGAGUUUAAUAUGCUAUCGCCCCUUUCAAUAGGAAAGGACCUCAAAAAAAAAAAAAAUAAAUAAAUAAAUAAACUCGCAAUACCGACUCCAUUCGUAAUUCCAUCAAUUACGCGACCAAAACUUCGUCGCUCAAAGUCUUGCGCGACGAAAAACAAUUCGUAGCGCAAAGUCACUUCGCGCGACAAACUUUUGCGCGACGACAAUACAUCGUCGCUCAAAGUCUUGCGCGACCAAAUUUUGCUCGACGAAAAAAAUUCGUCGCGCAAAGUCACUUCGCGAGACAAACUUUUGCGCGACAACAAUACAUCGUCGCUCAAAGUGACUUUGCGCGACGAAACAAUGAACUUCGUCGCGCAAAGUCCUUAUAAAAAUAAAAUAUAUAUAUUUUAAAAUCUUUGCAUGACGUAAUCCAAAUAUUUCGUCGCCUAAACUAAUUUAUUUUUGUUUUUUAUUUUGUAUGCAUAACACUUAAGAAAUUAAACAGUAUAUAUAUUUAUUAAGUAGCUUUAAAUUUAUUAUUUUAGAUCAGAUCGGAUUUUUGUUAGAAAAAUAUAUUAUUGUUGUUCAGAUUGGGUUUUUGUUAGAAAAUAUAUAUUUUAAAUUGACGAUCGAAUUAGUUCAUUGUAUUCAUAUAUGGUCAAGGAGUGUAGCUAUAAAAAGCAUCAAAAUUGGAGUUAAAAUAACCGUUAAAUCGUGAUUUUUCAUUAUAACCGUCGAAAAGUUUUGUCCCAUUACUUGAUCUCUGAAUGUUUAUUUUUUCUGAUUUUUGGCGUAUAUGAUCUCGAAGUAUAAACAAACAAGUUUGACGGUUGGAUCGUUGAAACUAGUUUUGGUGAAUGCAUAUGCCAUCAAAACAAUAUAUUCACUAACAGUUAAGAGUUUAUUUAUACGUUCGUUAAAUAUAACAUAAGAUUUUGUGGUAUCCACUAGUGUAAAUAUUUUAAAUUGAAGAUCAAAUUCAGUCGUUGUAUUCACAUAGGGUCAAGGAGUGUAGCUGUAAAAAAUCAUCAAAAUCGGAGUUAAAAUAACCGUUAAAUCGUGAUUUUUCAUUAUAACCGUCGAAAAGUUUUGUCCCAUUACUUGAUCUCUGAAUGUUUAUUUUUUCCGAUUUUUGGCGUAUAUGAUCUCGAAGUAUAAACAAACAAGUUUGACGAUUGGAUCAUUGAAACUAGUUUUGGUGAAUGCAUAUGCCAUCAAAACAAUAUAUUCACUAACAAUUAAGAGGUUAUUUAUACGUUCGUUAGAUAUAACAUAAGAUUUUGUGGUAUCCACUAGUGUAAAUAUUUUAAAUUGAAGAUCAAAUUCAAUCAUUGUAUUCAUAUAUGGUCAAGGAGUGUAGCUGUAAAAAAAAUCAUCAAAAUCGGAGUUAAAAUAACCGUUAAAUCGUAAUUUUUCAUUUAUAACCAUCGAAAAGUUUUGUCUCGUUACUAGAUCUCUGAAUGUUUGUUUUUUGCGAUUUUUGGGGUAUACGAUCUUGAAGUAUAUACAAAUAAGUCUGACGGUUGGAUCGUUGAAUGGUGUGUGUAUAUAUAUUUAUUUAUUAAGUAGCUUUAAAUUUAUUUAUUUUGUACGUAUAACACUUAAGAAAUUGAAUAGUAUAUAUAUUUAUUAAGCAGCUUUAACCUUAUUUAUAUUUUAAAUUGUAAAAUAAAAUAAUUUUAUUUUUAUUAUUCCUAACAAUUAUUUUUAUAAAUAUUGUGUUACGAACCAAUUUUUCGUCUCUCAAAAGUUUGCGCAACCAACAGUUUGUCGCGCAAAACUCUAAAAAUUUGGACGGGUACCAAAAAUGGGACGCGGGAUUUUUAAAAAAAAUAAAAAAAAUUUAGACUUUGUGCGACCAAUAUUUUUUGUCGCUCAAAACUUUGCGCGACCAAUAUAUAUUUUUCGUCUCUCAAAAAUUUGGGCAGGUACCAAAAAUGGGAAGCGGGAAUUUUUUUAGACUUUGCGCGACUAGUAUGUAUUUUUCGUCGUGCAAAAAUUUAAAAAUUUUGGCAGGUACCAAAAAUGGGACGCGGGGAUUUUUAUUUUUUUAAAUAAUUUUUUUAGACUUUGCGCGACCAAUAUUCCUAUAUUCGUCGCGCAAAAAUUUAAAAAUUUUGGCGGGUACCGAAAAUGGGACGCGGGGAUUUUUAUUUUUUUAAAUAAUUUUUUUAGACUUUGCGCGACCAAUAUUCCUAUAUUCGUCGCGCAAAAAUUUAAAAAUUUUGGCGGGUACCGAAAAUGGGACGCGGGGAUUUUUAUUUUUUUAAAUAAUUUUUUUAGACUUUGCGCGACCAAUAUUCCUAUAUUCGUCGCGCAAAAAAUUAAAAAUUUUGGCUGGUACCAAAAAUGGGACGCGGGGAUUUUUAUUUUUUUAAAUAAUUUUUUUAGACUUUGCGCGACCAAUAUUCCUAUAUUCGUCGCGCAAAAAUUUAAAAAUUUUGGCGGGUACCAAAAAUGGGACGCGGGGAUUUUUAUUUUUUUAAAAUAUUUUUUUUAGACUUUGCGCGACCAAUAUUCCUAUAUUCGUCGCGCAAAAAUUUAAAAAUUUUGGGGGGUACCAAAAAUGGGACGCGGGGAUUUUUAUUUUUUUAAAAUAAUUUUUUUAGACUUUGCGCGACCAAUAUUCCUAUAUUCGUCGCGCAAAAAUUUAAAAAUUUUGGCGGGUACCAAAAAUGGGACGCGGGGAUUUUUAUUUUUUUUAAAUAAUUUUUUUAGACUUUGCGCGACCAAUAUUCUUAUAUUCGUCGCGCAAAACUUUGCGCGACCAAUAUGUUUCGUCGGGCAAAAGUUUGCGCGAUCAAUAUUCCAAUAUUUUUCGUCGCACAAACCUUUGCGCGACCAACAAUAUUUUUCGUCGCGCAAAGUGAUACGGUUUUUAAAACCGAAAUAACUCAUCCACCAUUUUCUCAAUGCCUUUCUCUACUCUUACCUCUCCUUUCUCUUUCCCUCUCCCCAAAUCCCACCAUUUCUCUCACUUACUCCUCUCACUUAAUCUCUCAUCUCUCUCUCACUCACUCUCUCAUCUCUCUCACUCACUCUCUCAUCUCUCUAUCACUAUCUUCUCUAAUUCUCUCACACUCACUUCUCCCUCUCAUUCUCAUUCACUCUCAAUCUUGCCAAAAGGUAUAUUCUCUCCAAAUUUUAAAUUUUUUUCAUUAAUAUGUGUUUUUGGAGUUAAUUUUGAGUUUGUGUGGGUUUUAGGGUUGAGUAAAGGGGAGGGAUUGGAGUUUGGGUUGGAUUUGUGGUAUAACAAUUUUAGGGGAGAUUAUGCCUUCUUUUUUUUUUUUUUUGUGGUUAUUUGACCAUAUUUAUUUUUUUUGUAGGGAAUCAUCGAGACUUUGACGGCUAAAGUUGAGGAUUAGGAAGCUAUCAAAACAUCUCCUCUGCCACUACCACCACAAUACGCUUGUAUUAGGGUUUUAUUAUUGUACUUUGUUAAUUUAUGUGAACAUUUUGAAUAUUAUAUAUAUAUAUAUAUUUAUUGGAUAAUUUAAUCACUAUUUUUCAUAUGUAAUUUUAUUUUGAAUAUGUCAAUUUAAAUUAAAGUAAUUAAAAAAAUCAUACAAUUAAAUUAAAUUUAAAAAGUAAAAAUUAAUAUCAAUUUAAAUUAAAGUAAUUUUAAAAAGAAAUCAUACAAUUAAAUUAAAUUUAAAACGUAAAAAUUUGAAAAAAUUCAUAUAAAUAAAUUCAUAUUAAAGAAAUAAUAAAACAAAAAGUCAAAAAUCUUGCGCGACAAAAUAUUUCGUAGCGCAAACUAUUAAAUUAGUUUAUUUUAAAUUAAAAACAUUUAAAACAAAAAAUAUUUCGUCGCGCAAAACUCAAAAAAUUUGGGCAGGUACCAAAAAUUGGACGUGGGAAUUUUUUAGUUUUUUAAAAUUUUUUUUAGACUUUGCGCGACCAAUGUUUUUCGUCGCGCAAAACUUUGAGCGACCAAUAUAUUUCGUCGCGCAAAUCUUUGCGCGACUAAUGUAUUUCGUCGUGCACAACUUUGCGCUACCAAUAUUUUUCGUCGUGCAAAGUCACUUUGCGCGACCAAUCUUUUUCGUCGCGCAAAGUCGCUUUGUGCGACCAAUAUUUUUUCGUCGCGCAAAGUCACUUUGCGUGACCAAUGAAAAAAUUCGUCGCGCAAAGUCUUUCUUCACGAUCUUUGCGCGACGGAUUCUGCGCGACGAAGUUUCUGUCUCGCUGAAAUUUGUGCGACUACAAUGUAUUUUGCGCGACGAAAUUCUCUUCGUCGCGCAAAGUGUAAAAUGUAGUAGUGGUACCAGUUGUGCUUAUUUACUUUUUACCAUGGCUCUCACAAAUCAAGAGACCUCUGCUUAGCUUUUCUUUUUAUUUUGGCCAUUUGCUCCUCUCAAGCAUCAUCUCACUAAAUUUAUGAUGAGACUGGAUGGCUCAAUUUGGGCCAGUUUUUUUUAUAAGGAUGCUGAGGAGAAGGAGAGGCGAUUCAUGAUAGUCAAGGCCAACUUGGAGUUCAUUAAGGCUUUUAACAAACACAUGAGCCAGAACUACUUCACACUAAGCUUAAAUGAAUUUGCAGACCUAACCAAUGAGGAGUUUCGGGAAAUUCGUAAUGGUUACACGAAACGAUCCUCCAAAUCGAUCAUGUCCAAUUCCACGAAAGCUACAUGUUUUAGAUAUUGAAAUGUCACUGAUGUGCCACCUUCAGUGGAUUGGAGAGAAAAGGGUGCAGUGACACCUAUCAAGGACCCAGGCAAAUGUGGUAAGUAUUAAACAAGUUGUUAAAUGAUGACGCAUUCACUGUUUCACAACCUAACAUGUUAUUGAAUGAUGAGGCAUGUUAUUUCAAUUUUAUAGGGUGUUGUUGGGCAUUCUCAGCAGUGGCAGCUACAAAAGGGGUUAACAUGCAAGCUCAAAGCCAGAAACUUAAUCUCACUAUCAGAGCAAGAGCUUGUGGAUUAUGACACUACAGGUCAAGAUCAUGGCUGUGAAGGUGGUCUAAUGGAUGACGCUUUUCAAUUCAUCCACGCAACAAAGGCUGACAACUGAAGCUAAUCACUUCUACCAGGGUUACAACACUCAGAAGGCUGCAUCCCAAACAGUGUCCAUAAAUGGGUACGAGGAUGUGCCUAAAAACAACCAAAAUGCUAUGUUGCAAGCCGUCGCUAACCAACCAAUUUCUUUUGGAAUUCAGACUAUGAUCUGAAUUAUAACUUGCCUUCUACAAAUACUACUGAAUGAGUAAAGGUUUCAGAGAGAUUUUCAGAAUGAGAGAGAGCUCGAGGAAAGAGCAAAAAGAUGAAUUCUAUUCUUCUUCUCACGCACACACUGUGCACUAAUAACAGUUGGAACAGGAAAUUCCCAAAUUACAUCAUUCAAAUCUAGCCAUCCAUUCUUCUAUUCUAAGAUUACAUCUUAGCUGUCCACUUGGAUUGUAAUCCAAGGGCUCACAUUUAAAUCUGUAAAUUUGAACUAAAUACAACAUCAUAUCAGCAAAAACAGUUAUAUUUCAACACUCCCUUCUAAGUGUUUAGCUGAGAUUACUCCAAGCUUUCUUCUCAGGUAUUCAAACCAAUCUCUUGCUAGAGCCUUAAUAAAGAUGUCUGCAGUCUGCUCUUCAAUUUUGCAACAUAGUAAAUCAAUCUCUCCAUUUUGCAAAGCAUCUCGGAUGAAGUGAAACCUCCUGUUUAUAUGCCUUGUCUUAUGAUGAUGCACAUGAUUCUUGGUUAUGGCAAUAGCAGAGGUAUUAUCACAUAGAAUUGUAGUAGCACCCACAUGUUCUUCACCAAUGUCUGAGAGAAUGAAGCGCAACCAGAUUGCUUGUGCAGUAGCUUCUGCUGCACUAACAUACUCUACUUCUACUGUAGACAGAGCUACACUACUUUGCUUGACUGAAGCCUAGGAAAACAUACCUGAUCCAAGAUUAAAUGCAAAUCCAGAGGUGCUUCUCAUGUCAUCCUCGCUCCCCGACCAAUCACUGUCACAGUAGCCAAUGAGCCUUGCUUCUUUGCCUUUCUCAUAUGCUAUGCCACAAUCAAAUGUGCCUUGAAUGUACCUCAAUACCCUUUUGGCAGUUCCCAUAUGUUUUCUAGUAGGUCCAUGCAUAAAUCUAGCCAAAAGACUUGCUGCAACCAUGAUGUCUGGCCUUGUUGCAGUCAAGUACAACAGAUUUCCAACUAUCUGCCUAUAAACCCCUUCAUCAGCUUGUUCACUUCCAUCUUCCUUGGAUAGCUUUUCAUUCAUUGCAAGAGGAGUAGCCACUGCUUUAUAGUCCUUGAAGCCAAAUUUGUCUAGCAAUGUCUUAGCAUAUUUCUUCUGGUGCAAGAAAAUGUAAGACUCAGUUUGUAUCACUCCUAACCCCAAGAAAUGGUGAAGCAAACCAAGAUCAGUCAUUUCAUACUGCAUCACCAUUUCAGUUUUGAACUCCAUGAUCAAGGCUUUUGAGCUUCCAGUGUAGAUAAUAUCAUCUACAUAUAAAGAAACAAUAAUAAUACUACUUUCUGCAGCCUUUACAUAUACUGUUGCCUCACUAGGACUUCUCUGGAAACUUGCCUUGAUGAAGUAAGAAUUGAUUUCUUCAUACCAAGCUCUUGGAGCUUGUUUAAGUCCAUAUAAUGCCUUCUUGAGUCUAUACACUCUAUCCUCUUUGUUCUUAAUCAUAAAACCAGGAGGUUGAUCCACAUACACCUCUUCAUGCAAUACUCCAUUCAAGAAUGCAGACUUCACAUCUAACUGAAAUAGUUUCCACCCCUUUUGUGCAGGCAAUGCCACCAAUGUUCUAAUGGUAUCCAGCCUAGCAACAGGUGCAAAUGUUUCAUUGAAAUCUAUCCCUGGCUUUUGAGAAUAGCCCUUUGCCACUAGCUGAGCCUUGUCUUUUUGAACUGUACCAUCUAAAUUCAGCUUGGUUUUAUAAAUCCAUUUGACACCAAUUACUGGUUUAUCAGUUAGUCUAUCAACCAACUCCCAAGUUUUGUUCUUCUCUAUAAUUUCUAUCUCAUUCUCCAUUGCUUUCUGCCAUGCUUCAUCCUUAACAGCCUCUUCAAAGGUCUCAGGCUUGAUAAUACACAAGUUACAUCUUGCAUACACUUCUGCAAUACUCUUGUAUUUCAGAGGUGUGUGAUCAACAUCCAGUGAUCCUGAGUCAGGAUCAACAUGCCCCUCUUCUGAAAUCUCUUCUUGACUCAGGCUAGAAUCAUUAGAUUCCUCUUCUCUCUCAGUGAGUGUCUCAUUAAGAGGUAUUGAGAUAUCACAUUCCUUUUGUGCAUUUCAAUCCCAAAUAGAUGCCUCAUUGAAUAUCACAUCCCUGGAAAUAAUCAUUUUUUUCAGAUGCAAUGUUAUAUAGUCUGAAGCCUUUUCACAGUUGCCAUACCCUUCUGCCUUUGUUGAUUUGGAACAUGUGCAUAGCACAAAGAACCAAACACUCUUAAAUGCUUAACUCCUAGCUUUCUACCACUAUAAGCUUCAAAUGGAGUUUUCUUGUCUAAGGCCUUAGUUGGACAUCUAUUCUGGACAUACACUGCAGUGUUUACUGCCUUAGCCCAAAAUUCUAGAGGCAUCUUCUUCUCAAUCAUCAUGCAUUUAGCCAUCUCCAUAAUUGUUCUGUUCUUUUGUUCUGCUAUUCCGUUUUGCUAUGGUGAAUAUGUCACAGUUAGCUGCCUUUCCAUUCCCAUGUCUUCACAAAAUUUGUUGAAUUCAUUGGAAGUAUAUUCGCCCCCCUGUCACAUCUUAUUUUCUUCAAUUUAUAUCCACUUUGCAGCUCAACAGUGGCUUUAAAUUUCUUAAAGACAUUAAGGACUUUUGAUUUGUAUCUCAAGAAAUAGAUCCAACACAUACGAGUACAAUCGUCUAUGAAGGUAAGAAAAUAUCUAUUUCCAGCUUUGGUAAUAGUCUGCAUUGGUCCACAUACAUUUGUGUGUACCAACUCGAGUGGGAUUCUGGCAAUCCAAGUACCAUUCCCUGAUCUUGCAGCAGCUUCAAACUGGUGAAGUUUAAAUGCCCCAUUCUUCUAUGCCAAACUAAAGUUGAUGACUCUACAUUUGCUCUUAAUGCAACCUGUAAAGUUGUGUGAAGCUUCAAAGGAAAACUUAUGUCGCCUUUCAGUUGCACCUUAGCAACUAGAUUUGAUAAAGAACAAUCAUCAUAAAUUUCAACCUUAUUAGCUCCAAAAAUCAGAACAUAUCCAUGCUUCAUCAUUUGCCCUACACUGAGCAAAUUCUUCUUGAGACCAGCAACUAACAGCACUCCUUUGACAUACCUUCUUCCCAUCUUAGUGUCAACAACAAGAUUUAAUUUCCUUUUCCAACAACAUUAACCAAUUGUCCUGUCCCCAUUGCAACUUUUGCAAUUAUAUUCCUAUCAACAUCAACUAAUACAUCUUCUCUCCCAGUCAUAUGGUUGCUAGAUCCGCUAUCCAAAUACCAUAUUGUUCACCCGUUUUGUGUUUGUUCCUGUGAUGGUAGGGCAAAAUUCCCCAUUGCCUUGAAAAUCAUUGACUGGUCAACAAGUCAACUUUCUUUAGUGUGCGAGCGUGCCACUACUAGCAAUGAGAAAUCCUAGAAGACUUUAAAAAUAGAUAACUUGCACCCCAAGUUACUGAUUUCUAAUCAAACAGUUGUGAAUUUGGGUGAGGAAUAUCUCCCAAGUAAGUUCUUUUCUUGCCUCAGACUGGUGAGUACUUCAUAAUUUUUCACAGUAUAAAACUGGUAGUUCUGGCCAGAAUAAAUGAUGAGAAAAUGAACUGUUUUGAGGUAGAAUUGCCUUUUACAAAACUCAAAAGGGAAAAGCCAACUCUAGAAAGACAAAAAGAAGGCUGGACUUCCAUUUCUGCAUGGAUAGAUGCUUCUGAUCCAGGCUGGACUAGACUAUCAGCAACUUCAACUGUCAAGUUUCAGCUGUAAAUCGAUACCAACGUUCGAGUUUGGCAGAGCUUUAAUCUAUUUCAAGCCCUGGAAGGCUUUUUGAACGGACAGAAUUACGGCCUAUUCAGUCUGAAGGGUGCAGAAGUGGCUGGACUCAAGGAUUAUUGAGCUGGAACUGCAUUGUGAUACUUGUUCUACUUGAUCAGGGUUCUCCAUAAAUUUGUUGAGGUUUUCAUUUUUGUGAAAACCCAAGCUCUGCUUGUUUUGGCUUUUGCUGAACCAAAUUUGUAACAAGAGAAAUCUCAUUUUAAAUGACUUUUCUCUAAGUCUGAAAUUGAUUUGUAGUUGGCUUCUUUCUUCUUGAAAUUGAUUUGUAGUUGGCUUCUUUCUUCUGGCUCAAUGAGCUUUUGGUUGCUUCAGUUUGUUUGAAGGUUCUUUGAGAUCAAGUGAUCAUUUUGAGUUUUUGUCUUUUGACUGAUUUUUUGGUUGUUUGAUUGAUUGUCUGAUCUUUUGCUCUGUUCACCCUCUCCUAUAUUUAUAAGAGAUGCUUUGUAGUGGUGCUUCUAAUUCUUUUAAUAAUGGGCGGAAAAAUUUCUCAAAAGAUCUUUCAUUUUUAAAUGCAAAGAAAAAGGGUUUUUAUCAAUUCUGGCAGAUAAGCUUUCUAUAGUCAGUUCCUAAGGCAGUCACUUCCCUGUAUUUCUUGAAAAAGAAACCUAACCCUUCUUCCAAUUUAACUGCUCUUUGUAAGAGUUCAAACUGUGAUGGUUUAGUUUUGAUCUUCCAGAUGAACAACUCCCUGCUUCCCACUUAUCUUUUUAGAAAAUAUGGCCUGCUUAUCCCUUGGAAAUGAUAUCUAACGAAUUUUUUUGGAUAUAGAAAAGGAUUCUGAUCUUUUAGCCCCAAAGUUUCAGGGAAGUCUCUCUGCUAAUGACCUGCUUUCAUUAAUUACCAAUCUACUCUCUUGUGACAGUUGAAAUUGUUGACUUUUUAAAGUCAGGUAUUCACGUGGGCUCUGAGAAUAGACUUUCCAAAAAUCAGCUGAUCUUAUACUCCGUGUUUUGAGAUAAAUGGUGAGUACUUAGAUGCUGGGCCCAAUCCAAUUCUUUUUUAUCUACUUUAGUGGUCAAUUGCCACUUAAUUUGGCCUUCUUUUUUUUUUUUUACAACUUUGCCAUUUCGUAAAAGACGUGGGCCUUUCUUCUUUUUUAAUUAUGCCAAGCCCAGUUUGAGUUGAGCUAUGGGCUGAUUUCUUUCUUUUCUUCCUUUUCGAAGCCCAAGUUUAUUGUCGUGGUUUCGAUAGAUCACGGGCUGGGCUUUUUUGAAUUUUGGGCCCUCGAUUCCUGUUUAUUUUGCAAAGCCCAGACUGCUUGGGCCCUGUGGCUUUAUUCUGGGCUCUAUAGUGUUGGGCUAGGUGCACAGGAUUUUGGCCCCAACACAUACAUCAUCACAUCCUUUUACACUAGCAGAACCUUUAUUACUAGCAUAAAACAUGGUUGGUGUGGAUUCGGUCUGAGUAGCAUAGUUGAGCUGUUGUGCUGGUUUCUUGCUAUAGCAAUCUUUUGCAAUAUGACCAAAUUUGUCACAGUUGUAACAUUUUGGUUUUCCCUUAAACCGAAAAUCACCAAAAUGUAGUUCGCCACAAUGUUUGCAGGGGUUUCUGGCUCCAUCAGUUGAUAUAUUAUCCCACUUUUUGCCUUUUGUCCUCCAAUUCCUUUGAUCCCUAAAACCACUUUGACUUCCACUGUAAUUUUUUGAUUGGGAUUCACACAAAGACUAGCAAAUGCUUUCUCAGUCUUAUCUCCAAAGUGCCUAUCUAGCCAUAAUUCAAAACUCUUCAAAGAGGUUACCACUUCUUGUACCUCAAUUUCAUCCAAAUCCUUAGAAUGCUCAAUAACAGAACAGAUUGAAUCAUAAGCUGAUGGCAAACUGAUUAGUAAUUUUUGAACAAUCCUUGCUCUAGCUAAAUCCUUUCCAUAGCUCCUCAUUUGGUUUAUCAGAUCAAACGGUUUGGUAAGAUAAGCAGAAAGGGACUCAUCAUCUCUGAUUCUUGUAUAUUCAAAUUCUCUACAUAGACCUUGCAAUUUAACACUUCUAACCUGUUUAUCACCAUGGAAUUCCUUCAUCAAGAUAUCCCAAGCUCCCUCAAAGGUUUCUUCAUGAGAGAAUCGAGGGAAGAUCUCAUCAGACGCUGCUCCUUGAAUAAGACCCAGAGCUUUAGCAUUCUUCAUGAGUAGCUCAGUGAGAGUCAUCUUCCAAGCACCACUCGAUUCUUCCUUUUCUUUCUUCUUUGCAUCAGAUUCUCCAGCUCCCUUCGAAUUUGAGCACUCUAUUCCCUUCUCAACCAAUUCCCAAAGCCCAUGAGAUUUGAAAAUGGUUUUCAUUCUUAUGCUCCAAUUUUCGUAGUUAUCACCGCCAAAGAUCGGCACUCUCAGCUCACCACCUCCAUACCCUGCCAUGUUAGACACAAAUCGCGAAACCACUUUUCCAAAUUUCAGCUAGUUUUCUUCACAGAUUUAAUCGCCCAAAGUUAAACAAUAGAACCUGGCUCUGAGGCCAUGUUAGAAUUCAAACUAUGAUCUGAAUUAUAACUUGCAUUCUACAAAUGCUACUGAAUGAGUAAAGGUUUCAGAGAGAUUUUUAGAAUGAGAGAGAGCUUGAGGAAGGAGCAAAAAGAUGAAUUCUAUUCUUCUUCUCUCGCACACACUCUGCACUAAUAACAGCUGGAACAGGAAAUUCCCAAAUUAUAUCAUCCAAAUCUAGCCAUCCAUUCUUCUAUUCUAAGAUUACAUCUUAGCUGUCCACUUGGACUGUAAUCCAAGCGCUCACAUUUAAAUCUGUAAAUUUAAACUAAAUACAACAUCAUAUCAGCUAAAACACUUAUAUUUCAACAUUUCGGUUGCCAUUGACGCAAGUGGCUGUACAUUCCAGUUUUAUUCAAGUGGUGUGUUCACUGUGGUAUAAACUUAGAUCAUGGUGUUACCGCAGUUGGAUACGGGACUAGGACUAGUAGUGAUGGGACUAAAUACUGGCUGGUGAAGAAUUUUUAGGGCACAUGGUUGGGGGAGGAUGGAUAUGUGACGAUGCAAAGGGGCAUUCCUGCCAAGGAAGGACUCUGUGGCAUUGCUAUGGAAGCUUCUUAUCCAACCGCAUGAUUAAUUAAAAUGCAUAUAUGUCAUAAUAUAGUGUGGUGUAUAAAAUAUGUAUAAUUGAAUAAUAUAGAAAGACGCUAGCUAUGAGCUGCUAUCCUUCCACUUUGAAAUCCAUGCCUCAAAACAUAGAAACAAUUAACCCAUGACGUGGAUUUGCUCUUAAAAUCUCACUCAAUGAAUUAGCAGCUAUAGCUAUGAGGUUGACAUGUUUUCAUUACCAUUGCAAGGUUAAAUCAAGUUAGAUUAAGGGUGCAUAUUUUUGCUCACCAUCAUUCUUAAUAUUUGACAUGUGUCUAUGGGUAUAACCAUAUAGUUCUAUAAAUAUAUAACUAUGAUUAUGUCAAUGAACACGUGUCAAGUGUUAAAAUGGGUAGUGAGAGUACACAUUUGGUUAAAGUGGUGAGUAAAUAUAUUCCCUUAGAGUAAUCACAUGAUCAUGUCACUGAUCCUACAAGGUAAAACUGUGAAACGACGUCAUUACACUUGUUCGGAGGUGGCAUGGAUUGGAAACACGUAAUUAACCAUAUAUAUAACAUCAAUUUACAACUUAAUUAUACUUAUUCUUAAAGCCAUUUCUGAUCGGACAUUUUUGGAGAAAUUAAUUUCUCAGGCAAGUAAAUGGCAGCAGAAGAGGACCGGAAAAUUUAGGUGCCAGUAGAAGAGAAAAACUCUCUCGCACGUACCUGGUUUAUGGAAGUUUGCUGUAACAGGAGAGCUAGAUAAAACUUAAUUUGAAAAAUUCUAGGAUACGUAACUAGAGCUUACAAGGUGGUGUUGUUGACUGGCUACAACUUCAAAUACAAACCGUUGAGCUAGCUUGCUGUGCGCAGUAUAUAAAGAUUAUUUAGGACUAGCUAGGCUCAUAAUUAAUAUAUACAUAUAUAUAUAAUUACUUUAUAUUUUUAAAGAGGGGGAAGUACAAUAUUAUGAUGAAGAGAUGAGUCUUUUUGCCAAUUAAAAUGCACCAUUUAUAUAUUCUGUAUCCAGAUUACCUUUUGCAUGAUCUUGCCAUGAACAUCCAAAAAUGCACCAAUCUAGUUAAAAUUCAAAACAAAUUUAAAGAUUUUUACAUCGUAGUUAAAGGAAAUUCAUUGUUCCUAUAACUUGUGCUUCCUAUACACACACAAAUUCCAUGAAUCAAUUGACAAUGUGAUAUUAAUAUUACCAUAUAACAUUUUCAACAUUUUCAUCUCGUCCUAGCAUUCAAGUAAAGAAAAGAAUACACGUAUACUUGGAUUGUUGAUGUCUAACUUUGACUCAACGGAUUAAGAUCGUAAAAACGACACAUUCACAUCAUGACACACACUCAAGUCAGGCUACGUCCAUAAUAUACAAUUAGUGAACUGAAUUACAUGAAUCUACAAGUACGGGAUAUAAAAGCUACAAGCCCUACAUGCUACAAUAUCUGUCCUAUUUUUGGGUCAACUGUUCCUUAUUCUCUUUGAUAGUACAAUCGAGUUUACAUGUUAGGAUCCUAACGGGGAUAUUAAAUGCUGAAAAGGAAAUAAUCAAUUCCCAAUAAGCCCUUAAGAUCGUCUAACCAAGAUACAAGCCUCAUAUAUAUCUUAACAAAUCUUUCUAGUUCUUAAAGGUUAUAGCAUCCAUCUCUCUCUCUCUCUCUCUCUCUCUCUCUCUCUCUCUCUCUCUCUCUCUCUCUCUCUCUCUCUCUAUAUAUAUAUAUAUAUAUAUAUCCUCUCAUAUAAGUCCAAAUUAUCAUGAUAUUUGUCUUUAAAGAAUUAAUUAACAUACUUAUCACCGCGCAGAAAAUUAAUUUAUGUCUUCAAGAUGUCUAUAGAGCAUUAUUAAACUAAUCCUAAAAUAAAUAAAUAUUUUUAUUCUUAGUGCAAUGUGGAAAUAUCUUUAAAGAAUAGAAUAUUUCACCAAUAUAGAAGAGCGGCUAUACUCAACAAAUAUAAAUUUUCAAUAGUCUAGCCGAGUGGCUGUACUCUAUAAAUAUAAAUUUUUUAACAGUACAACCGCAUGGCUAUACUCUUUAAAUAGAAAUUUCAAAAUUAUAGCCGUCCGGCUAUACUAGUUAAAUAGAAUUUUUCCAACAGUAUAGUCGCACGGAUAUACAAAAUCGCUUUUCUCAUUCAACGAAGUAGUUUUUCAUUUUUAUUUUUUCUGUAACGGGGCGGGUCAGGGAACCAGUUCCUUAAUAAAGGCUGGUAUGGGCCAAUGGCGGAUUGAAGACCGACAUAUUCUGAAUAUGGGCACCAAUAUACCGGUCGACUAGUUCUCCUAGCCAGUGGCAGUGGUUGCGGUUGAUUUCCCCCAUGAUCACCUAUUGGACAACCUUUGCCUUUUCUGUUCUUGGUGUUUCACCAUUUUGGCCAACCAUAGUCUCUAGUACCUCGGCCAUACUUAAUUCCAGUCACCUUAAAUGUAACCCAAAAUACUUGGUCGAACUCAUUCAUUUUUGCCCGCCUUAGGUGGCUUUUGGCAGCGCUUAAUUUUUUUUAAAAGCAACUUUAAUACAAAUUUGGCAUGAGUUGGGUGUUUGGUAAACCCAAAAAAACACGCUUAUUUUAAAAACACCCAUCAUAAAAAGCAAAAACUCAACGUCAGGUAUAUGGAGCUUUCAAAAGCUGUUUAAAAAAAGAGCUGGUUUUCUUGUUAAUGAAAGUUUCAUUAUCCCUAUAGUACCCCUAAGUAUUUCACAAAAUGACAACGUUUGACCCUCUCACAAAAUAGAUCUCGCGACCUUCACACUUUCUGACCUCACUCUCAGACUGCUCUUCUCACUAUUCUUCUUCUUCCUCCCCCUGCAUCUCAAAACUCCAUCUCAAUCAAGGACUUUAAUUGCCAACAACAAUCAGCUACUUAUCAGUGAGUUCAUCUUCCCAUUACAUUUAUGAUUUUUGGGUUUAUAUAUGUUAUGAAAUUAGGUUUUUCAUUUGGUUCUAUGCAAUUGGGGGCUUUGUGUUCUUGAGGCUUUAAGGGGAAAAUACGGGAGAGACAGAGAGAGAGUUUUGCUGCAAGUUUUGUACUGGGUUUGUCUCUCCUUGCUCUUUGACAAGGAGAGAUUUCUCCCUAGCUUGGUUCAAUUGGCCUUUGGGUCAGAUACUUCUCUCUCUGUUUCUAUUUCUCUGAAACAUGUCUGUCCUGGAUGCUUUUUUUCUAUAGAUUACACAACCAUCAUUGUUCAUAGAUUUACUCAUUGUAUAGUUUGGUACAGUUCCAAAAUAUCAAGAACAAAACCCGUUAUGCUAAUCUGGUUCUUUAUAUACAUAAAUAUAAAUAUAAAUAAAUAUAUAUAUAUAUAUAUACAGUCCCCUUCUAUUGAGAGAUCUCUCAAAUAAUUUUAUUUGAGGGACGCCCUUAGGGUACCCUACAAUUUUCUUUCCAAUGAUCCAAACCAUCUAUUUUUUAGGUCUUCAUUCAUAAAUCAUCCUUACAAAAAAUUAGAUAAAUCGGAAACCGUUUUGACAUCCAAUUGUAUCUUACAAAAUCAAUGAACACGUUCCUUCAAGAAAGUACUAAAAUUUCAAUAACUCAAAUGAGUGGUCAAAUGAUAUCAUAUUCGAGUAAUUUUUUUGUAGAGAUGAUCUUUGAAUGAAUAUCUACAAAAUAGACUGUUUGGAUUAGUUAAAUACAAUUCGGAGUGGGGCCUAUAAGGAGUGUCCCUCAAAUACUUAUUUGAGGGAUCCCUCAAUGGAAACUCUCUGUAUAUAUAUAUAUAUAUAUAUAUAUAUAUAUAUGAUUGCAACCCAAGUCCCCAAGUCAGGUCCGUGUUGAUUUUUCCAUUGUCCUAACCUUGUUGUCUUCAAGCUCAAACAUAAUUCCUUUGGACUUUAGUUUUAGUUCUCUUUUAGUUAGAAGACAAGAAAAGAGUGAAGAAGCCAUUAGCUCCAGAUCUGGGGCUUCUGUUUUCUCAAGAAUUUUUUUAAAAAAAAAAAAGAUCCUAUUAUGUGAAACUGCUGUUCCAUCUAAGUUGUCAUCCAUUAUUGUGUUAGAAGAUUUUUGGUAAACAAAGCUUUUAUUUUUUAGUGGUCAUAGUUUCAAGUUCUUCCUUAUUAUUAUUUUUCAGUGUCGGUGGACUUUAUUAUUGUGUUAGAAGAUUUUUGAUUGGGUAAUGGUUUGAAGUUCUUCCUUCUAUUUAUAUUUUUUUGUGUUGGUGGGCUUUAUCAAAAGUGAUUGUAGCAUGCUGGUCAUUGUGGUGGGGAACUCAUAAACUGACAUAUGGUUGAAAUAUAAAAAUUUUGUAAAUUGGUAUGAAAUUGCAUUCUCAGUAAAUUAUGGGAAUGCAAUAUCAUCUUGCCUUAGAACAUAUGAUAGAAACAAAACAUUUUAACCACAACACAGACUUAAGAGAUUCAAUAAACUGUUCCCUAGUAAGCUGGAAAUAUUGGCUAAGACUUUAUGUUAUCUUUGUCUCCUCUUGGCAGAAUAGGCUUGCUAGUUCCUCAAGUAAUAUAUGUUAAAGAUUAGGAAAAUUAUAUAGUUCUUGUUCUUAGGUCAAUUGUGAAGGUGAUCAGUUUAUUUUCAUGUGUGGAUUCUUUUCGUUCUUGGUUUUCUUUCAUGAAUCAUUAGGAAUACUCUAUGCUUGGACUCUUUGUCCCUUGUUGAGAAUGAGAAGUGGGUUUAAGGAAGUUUUGUUGGGAGCCAUCAUCAUUUUUAAACAUAUAGCAUAUAGUGGAUAAUAUAGAUGAAUAUUCAUACCUGUGGGAAAAGGAAAGUUUGUUAUUUUUAUGCUUUUAGUAUAAUGUAUAUCUUGGGACAAUUAUUUGCUAUUAUCUAUUUCUCAUACUCAACACAUAUUGCUUUAGUAAGGAUGGGAAAGAAUGUGAGAAGUUCAUCAAAAGCUCCAGCGACAUGGAAUAACCAUAAUAUAUCCAUAUUCUGUGAUUUGUGCAUCAAGGAGAUAUGCCUAAUUAUCCAUUCAACAAGCAAGUGAAGAUAGUCAUUGCUACAAUGACACUUCAUAAUUAUAUAAGGAGGCAUGCCCAACGUGAUAGACAUUUUGAUGCUUCAAAUGAUAUCUUAAGUGAAGAGAUAGGUGAGGAUGUUGAUGUACAACAAGAAGUUCAUAGUCUUAAUGACAAUGGAACACAAGAGAUGGAAGCAUUGAGAAAUAGCAUCGCUACAAGUUUCAUGAAUGCAUCUAAUUAGCUUCUUUUAUAUUGUAGUGAUCCAUUUUGGCAUGUUAAAAUUGAACAAUUUUUGUAUAUUUGUUAUGCUAACCCUCUCCGAAGCCCUCAAAACACAUUGUUAUUAUUAAUAUAACAAUAUUUAGAACUACUUUUGUUACAAUAUUAAUUUAUAAUUUAUGGUAAUAUAUGUGUGCUAAUUGUAGAUUACAAAUUUUGAUAAAUUAAAAAUGUGUAAAUUAAAAAAGAAAACAAAUUUAUGUAGUGAAGUUUGUUUUCUUUUUUUUAAAGUAGAAAAAGAAUGAAGAAAAAAAGAAACCGUUUCAUCAUCAUGUCCUUUUCGUUCAUUAUACAUACUAAAAGCACUUCUGAUAAAAAUUUACCGAACACUUCGACUACUCACAGCCUUUUUUCAUAUACAGUUUACCAAACGCCUAGCUGUUUUUUUUUCAUAGCUGAUUAUUUUCGCAGCACAGCAGAAACAGUUUUUUUUUAAAGCACAACAAUGCCAAACUAGCCCUUAGUUGACUCCCAUUUAUUUUUCUGCUAUUCUAGAUCUAGUCAUUAUCAAUCACCAUAAUAAAGCUCCACUUCUUGUAGUUUCAGUUUCACCUGUGCCUUUGAUUAUUUAGAACAAUUUAGACUUUAAUGAUAUGGUCACGGUUACAGCACAAAAGACAAAUACCAAAAGCGGCCCUCGUGAAGAAGGGUAUGGUCAUUGGUCACCCUCAGUUUCACUUGUGCCUUCUCAUCACCUUCGCUCUCGCCUCCUCAUCACUCUCUGUCGUCUGUGGUGCGCAGGAGCACCACCACCACAACAACAUUAUCAGCCAUGGAGCUCUCUCCGACACCGAAGCCCUCUACAUCAAGCAGCGCCAGCUCCUCUACUACGGGGACGAGUUCGGCGACCGAGACGAGCUAGUCACGGUCGACCCAUCUCUGGUUUUCGAGAACCAGAGAAUCAGAAAUGCUUACAUGGCUUUACAAGCUUGGAAGCAAGCCAUUCUCUCCGACCCGCUUAAUCUCACGGGUAAUUGGGUCGGAUCUAAUGUCUGCAACUGUAUUCAAUUUAAUCAACUGUAGGAUUCAUUUACAAGGCGAGUGGAAGGAGUCAUCAAUUUUGAAUUAACAAGUUUCUACUGUAACGUAUAACAACUAUGUUCAUAUUUAUUGGCUGGAUAAGUUGUUAUAUUCAGC
rnacentral:lncRNA from 1 species